AUUGAACGCUGGCGGCAUGCCUUACACAUGCAAGUCGAACGGCAGCACGGGUGCUUGCACCUGGUGGCGUGUGGCGAACGGGUGAGUAAUACAUCGAACGUACCUUAUCGUGGGGGAUAACGCAGCGAAAGCUGUGCUAAUACCGCAUACGCCCUGAGGGGGAAAGCGGGGGAUCGCAAGACCUCGCGCGAUUAGAGCGGCCGAUGCCUGAUUAGCUUGUUGGUGGGGUAAAAGCCCACCAAGGCGACGAUCAGUAGCUGGUCUGAGAGGACGAUCAGCCACACCGGGACUGAGACACGGCCCAGACUCCUACGGGAGGCAGCAGUGGGGAAUUUUGGACAAUGGGGGCAACCCUGAUCCAGCAAUGCCGCGUGAGUGAAGAAGGCCUUCGGGUUGUAAAGCUCUUUUGUCGGGGAAGAAACACCGGCUCUAACACAGUCCGGGAAUGACGGUAUCUGAAGAAUAAGCACCGGCUAACUACGUGCCAGCCGCCGCAGUAA
rnacentral:rRNA from 1 species